UAGGAUUAAAGGCAUGCGCCACCACGA
rnacentral:piRNA from 1 species